CUCGGUGCAGCACAAACAACACACUAAGCUAACCACAGCAGCCCUCUUACAACUUGGUAUCUGAUAGAAGAGCCAACAUAAUAAAAAUAUCUGGAUCGGCCUGACAAAGAAAACAAUGGAAAUCAAAUAACAUCAAGGGAUUAUAACCAGCCCUCUACAGUUGCAAGCAACCAACUGGCAGAACCAGUUUGAAAAAAACGAAACAACACACACACACAAUUGAGCAUUUCCUGUUUUGCGACUUAGCCGGUUGAGCGCACUUUACAAGAGCUAAUUUGGACGAUCGCUCAGCUUCACAGCCGGGUAUUCCUCUGUGAGGGAGGCAAAGCCGAGGGGGAAAGUCAGGCUCGGCUGCCUGCAUCAGCUGGGAAGCCAGAGAGCUGCACACAGCAGGUGCUUCAGAACUUCCAGGAGAUGGCAUUGGAGGCUUGGCUUCGCCUGUUGAGAUGUCCUGGUUGCCCCAACUUUGCCAGACAUCCCAUUCUGGCUAUUGAGGCCAUGCCCCCCAGACCUUUGGGCCACCGAUUUCUUCGUUCAACGCCUUUCAUCCCAGUGAAGGGAACCUGGUGCCCCCUCUCAUCAGAAGAGUAAUGAGAAGACAAAGGGCCAAAUCUCCCCACCCUGAAUGAAAUCGAUGGGAAAGACCCAGGGGGGUCAUCUAAUUGGAUACUGCUCAGCAAGAGACCAUUACAAUAAGAAACUCGAUCACAGCAUUUCAGCUGGCCUGUGAAAUCAUAAAUCACCUGUGGAGCUCAGCUCAGCUCCCUCUUCAUCUGAAGCUUCAUUGAUCGGAGGGUCCGGCUCCCCACCACCACACACUGCCCCCCCUCCAUUGAAAGGGCCAGCAGGCCUCUGCAGGGGAGAUGGAAGGUGAUGACGCCAAAGAAGAGCUGUUCAAGAGAGAGGGAUUUCCACCCUGGGCCUGGGCAGAUUGCAGCCUCAGCUGCCCUCCCCUGGGGGCAACAGAGCAAGGGAGGACUCCCGCCAAAGGAGGAGGCUGCCUGCUACCCCCUCUGCAUAACUGACCUCUCUAGCCUUGCAUCUCUCAUUGACCAGAGCUGCACAUCACGCCUGACUAUUGUUUGCUUAAUUCAGGUUUCAGGAAUCAGGCUUAAGUUGAAUUCUCUGCUCCUUUGCCUCCAUCAAAAUGUUUGUACCUGAAGGAUUCAGCUGAGAGCUGACCUUCCAGCUUGGCAAUCCCGAACCCCCCCAGCCAGGACCCCUCCUGUGAAGGGGCACUGCAUGAAGAGCCCCUUCUGAGGAAGAAGCAGUCUUCAAUGCCCAGCUCCUCCCUUGGGAGGAAAGCCUCUACCUACCAGGUUAGCCAACUGGCACUACCCACCCGGCCCAGAAGGAAUACCUCUAGAAUGGAAGGGGAGGUAACACAUAAAUCAAGGACCAAGUCCACCCAUCUCCAUUUAUGUGGGGCAGGAUCUGUUUUCCUGGAAGAACAUAGCUCCUUUUUUGGCUCUUAAAAGGACACAGUGGGUCUCUGUGGAGGACCCUUCCUGUGCCCAGGCUUGGGGGUGCUUUUAGCAGCAAAGUUCUCCACACAGAUCUCCCCUCUCCACUCUGACUGAUGCCCUGAAAUGGGAGAGCUGUGGUCGUUGGUUCUUGAUGCUAGAUGAAGGCCCUCCAAGUGUUCCUCCUCACUAGAAAGAAAUUGGUGUGGUGGUGGUGGUGGGGGGAGUUUCAUGAACAAUGUCCCCACUAGGGUUGGGGUUUCAGCCUUCUGGCACCUGAAAGGCAGCUCAGCUCAGCUCAGCUGUUUCAGAAGCUGGAAGUUUUUUGUGGCACUGCCACAAAAUUCUGCAGCGCCACAGGAAUGGAGCUGUGAUGCGCCCUGGUCCCUUCCAUAAACUUUGGUUUUCUGGUUAUGUUCCAAGUUUGCAGUUAAGACCAAUGGCCCAAUUGUGCCAGCAGUUCUGCCCAAGGCAUUCUGGGAAGGCUCAAAGGGCUCUGUGUGGCCUAGAGGAGAGCAUUCCCUCCUUCUGAGCAGCUGAUGCAAAGGAGGCUGUUAUAUCUUCGGUUCUUUAGGCAUUGAAUGAGGCAGAGUAUUAAAACAGCAAACAAGUUUAUUAACUCAGAACAGAAGCAGCCCUAAAGGUUGCUGCACAGCUAUUUAUACAGUUAGCCUCUAGGCGGCAACCAAUAGAUUUAAAGUAACACUUUCCCACCCCAAACUUCAUUAUCAGCUUGAGACAGCCAGUCUGGCUUUCAGUAACAGCAACUGUUAAACAAUACAGCAAUGUAGGUCAGACAUUAAGCAAGUGAUUUAAAAUAGUUGUGGCCAAUACAUUACACCCCUUCCCUCUAGAUGGCUCAAACUCUCAAUUGCUGGACAUAGUCCUGCAGAUAUUUAGGUGGCCUUCUUGACUGUUCUGAACAUCUAGGGGUUGCAGGGGUCUCCCGGUCUACCCACUCGCUUGCCUGGCUGGGUAGACCAGGACUCUGAGGUCCAGUGAAGUCAGGUUGACUUGGGUCCCUUUGGCUGGCCAGUCCUGGUCGGCCCAAACCAAAGUCCAAUCGUGCAGCAAAGUCUGCAGGGCUGUCCCUCAGCACAGUUUGCCGGUCCUGUUCAGCAGAUACUGUCUGUCUGUCCGUGGAAAACUCUCCUAUGGCAUUUUCCGCAUCUCCUUGAGUAAGAGUUCUGUUGGCAUGUGCAAGCUCCUCUGUUGGGUCACUGUCGCACAGCCCUUGCAUGUGGCCCUCUUGAGAGGCCUGAGCCAGCAACUGGUUCGCUAGCCUCCAACGCAGCUGGUCAAUGUGCCGGCGAAUGACUUGCCCAUCUUCCAGGACCACCUCAUAAGAGAGUGGUCCUGACACCUUAACAACCACGGCUGCCACCCACAAAGCCCCUUGCCCAUAAUUCCAGGUCCAAACCCAGUCACCCACUUGCAAAUUCCGAUGUGCCUUUGGCUGAGCAGAGUUCGAGGCAACCUGGUUGGGGUGCAGCCUGUCCAGCUUGGUGAUCAAACAUUGGCCCCAUCUGAGUUCGGCAGGGCUUCUGCCCGUGGCGGUACAGGGAGUUGUGCAUUGUCAGAUCAGAAAAUCUUCCAGUGUGUGGUGCCAAUCCCCUGUGACAAUCCGUUUUAGUGAUUCCUUGGUUCUGCGGACCAUGCGUUCCACUUGGCCAUUUGAGGCCAGGUGAAAGGGAGCCGACGCGGCGUGCCGUAUUAGAUUUGCCCUGAGGAAAGACUGGAAUUCAGAAGCGGUAAACUGAGCCCCAUUGUCUGAGACUAACACAUCUGGAAGUCUGUAUGUUACAAAGAUUCUGCGCAGUUCCUGGAUGGUCUUGGCAGUAGUCAUAGUAGGGACUGGUGCAACCCCUAACCAUUUAGAAUGGUUAUUUACCAUUAUUAGAAACAGCUGUCCCUGAAAGGGCCCAGCAAAAUCGAUAUGGAUUCUUGACCAUGGUGUUUGUGUGUCCUCCCAUCGGUGGACAGGGGCUUGUGGCAUCUCCGGUCUGGAUUGCUGGCACGUGUAGCAACCAUGUAUUUGGGCCUUGAUGGCUUUAUCUAGUCCUGGCCACCAAAGGUAGCUCCUCGCAAGUGCCUUCAUCCAGACUAUUCCCGGAUGACCCUCGUGCAGAGACUCUGGGCCAUAAAGAGCUCAGGACCAUGACCCUACUUCCCCAAAGGAUGCACCCCUUAUGAGCUGAAAGCUCAUCUUUUCUCAUGAAGAAACUCUGAAAUUCUGGCCCUGGACAUUUGUCCAGCCAUCCUGUGUGUACCCAGUUUAGCACACGACUCAGCGUUUUGUCAGCUGCCGUCUCGGCAUCUAUGUCCCCAGCGUGAAGGGGAGAUUCUGGCAAAUCCUGGAUAGCCAGGUUGCAUGCAGGCAGACCUGGAUCUGGCAGGGGGAACCUGCUCAGGCCAUCUGCAUGGCCCAUUUCCUUGCCCGGUUUGUGAAUCAUCCUGUAGCUGUAGGCUGACAGGAAGAUAGACCACCUCAGCAUUCGAGGAGACAGAAUCUGAGAUGUCUGUUUGUUUGUGGUGAACAACCCUAGGGGUGGCUUGUGGUCUGUGAAGAUCGUGAACUGGUGGCCAUACAAGUAGUCAUGGAACUUUUUAACUCCAGCCACAAUGGCCAGAGACUCCUUGUCAAUUUGCGUGUAGUUGCGCUCUGCGGACAAUAGGGUCCUGGAGUAAUACGCGAUGGGCUUCUGCCUCCCAUCAGCCAUUAAGUGGCUUAACACAGCCCCAACCCCAUACGGGGAUGCAUCACACGCAAUGCAGACAGGCAGCUGCUCAUUGAAAUGAGUGAGAACUGAGUUCGACGACAGCAGUGAUUUGACUGCUUGGAAGCUACUUUUGUGGACACUGGUCCACUGCCACUGAGCUUGUCUAUCCAAGAGCCAGUGUAAUGGCUCUGCCACUGUGGCCUUGUUUGGGAGGAAGGCAUAGUAAAAAUUCAAAAGGCCUAGGAAAGCCUGAAGCGCUCCCUUUGACUUCGGCCUUGGGUCCUGCUGGAUUGUUUUUAAUUUGGAUUCCGCUGGAUGAAUGCCUUUGCCAUCGAUGCAGAAACCAAGGAAGUCAGUUGACUCUACCCCAAUCUUGCAUUUUUCUUUUUUUAGUUUAAGUCACGCAUCGCAGAAUCGCUGAAGGACGGUCUUAAGCCGUUCAGCCAGAAUCUCAACCGAUUCCUCAGCAAUGAGGACAUCAUCAAAGUAGGGGCAAACCCCUGGAAUUCCCUUGAGUGUGUGCCCCGUCACUCUCUGGAACAGCCUGGAGCUACACUCACCCCAAACUGUAGGCGCUUAACCUUAAAAGCCCCCCUAUGGGUGACAAUGGUCUGAGCUACCGCCAUGGCCUCAUCCACGGGCAGUUGUUGAUAGGCCUGUGCCAAAUCUAAUUUGGCGAACAUACGGCUCCUUGAAAUGACACCAAAAUAUGGCUGACAACUGGCACAGGGUAUGCGUGCUGUUGAAGUGCCCUGUUGAGGGUGCACUUAUAGUCAGCGCACAUUCACACUUCCCUGUUGGCCUUUAAUGGCAUUACUAUGGGAGUCUCCCACACCCCACUGUCUAUGGGCUGCAAUACCCCUUGUUCCACUAGCUUAUCCAGCUCUGCAUCGAUUUUGGGUUUUAAAGUGAAAGGCACUCUACGAGGCUUGAUCCGUAUUGGAGUUACCAUAGGAUCAAGCUUGAGGGCGAUUGGAGGACUCUUGUACUCCCCUAGACUAGAACUGAAAACAUCCGUGAACUCUUGGCAGACUACAGACAGAUCUGCCGCUUGCGUUUGGUGAAUGCCGGUUACUUGAAUGCCCAAUGCAUCAAACCUCGUGCGCUCGUGCGUUGGCCUUCCAUCACUACAACAUCUAGUGGCCCCUUGAACCCCUUGAAUUCCACCAGAAGUGUGGCUUUGCCUUUGACCGCCACUCGGGAGUUUUGGAAGUCUGUGAGUAGUAGAUUAGAUGACCAGAGCUUGGCCCAUCUGUUGGUAUGAUGGCAUAGGUGCCUGAAUGUUCCUUGUGAAAUGAUGGACAUGGCUGAGCCCAUGUCCAGUUCCAUCUUGCAUGGAACUCCCUGAAGCUUGACUUGUAGCCUAAGCUUCUGCUUUAGGGGGCGAUGGACACCAGUGCGGAGUACGCCCCUUCGGCUGGAGUAGAACCCUACUCAGUGUUGAUCCGGAGGCCUGGUACCUCUCCUGAAUGAGUCUUCUUUUGGGCGGUCCCUCUGACGACCUCAGCAGAUGGUGGUGAUGUGGCCUGGUUUGCCAUAGGCCCGACAUGUUGCAGUUCGGAAUUGGCAAUCCACGCGUUGAUGGCGGCCUCUGCAGCCCAUGCACCUAAGGAAUGGAACUGCCUUCUCAGCUGGCUGCAGUCCCUUCUCCGGGUGCUUUCAUAGCUGGUCGACUUUGUAGUCUAUCGGUGUCUUCCAUCCACUCAGUGUCCUCGUGGUGGACGGCUUCAGUGCUUGGUGUGCUUUUGGAGGGCCACCGUGCUUUAACAGCCCCUCCGGUGGCUUCAUCCGCCAUGACCUCCUUCAAGACCUCCUGUAGUGAGAGUCUCCUUAGCGAACAGUUUUUGUUGGAGCUCUCAAUUCCGGAGUCCGCAGAUCAAGCGGUCUCAUAGUCUCUCCUCCAAAUCCGUGAAAUUGCAGAGUCGGGACGCUUGAUGAAGAGCGGCAAUGAAUUCUGUUGCAGACUUGCCGGGUUGUUGCUCCUGCUGUUCAAAAGUGUGCCUCCACGCUAUAAUGGAUAACUUGGGCUCGAAGUGGUCUCGGAGCUUUUUUUUCAAGUCUGCAUAGGUGCCGGGGCGACCAGGUUCUCUGCAAUGUCCAAGGGGGUGGAGCCGCACAUGCAGAGGAGUGUCACCGCCUUCAAUCCAUCUUUGGCGACCUGGUUGGCCCGGAGGUAAUUUUCGACGCAGGAGAUGUAGGAUGCCCAUCUCUCCGGGUGAGUUACGUCGAAUUCUGAGCUUCCUGAUCUUCGCCAUGGUGGUUUGUUUCUUUGUGCAAUGCCUUGCGCUGCUGGCUUCUGUGUAGGCCCUAGGACAGAUCCUUAGGGUGUGGUGGUCUCCAGCAUGGCUUGCUGACAGACCGAGGGGGGGGGAAUGUAGUUCUUGUCAGGCUCUGUGCUGACCUCACCCCCUAGUGACUUCAAGCUCUCUCAAUGAAGCAGCACAUCCCACCCUCGUCGCCACUGUUAUAUCUUCAGUUCUUUAGGCAUUGAAUGAGGCAGAGUGUUGAAACAGCAAACAAGUUUAUUAACUCAGAACAGAAGCAGCCCUAAAGGCUG